rnacentral:rRNA from 1 species
UACGGAGGGUGCAAGCGUUAUCCGGAUUUACUGGGUUUAAAGGUGCGUAGGCGGGCCUUUAAGUCAGUGGUGAAAGCUCCGAGCUUAACUCGGAAACUGCCAUUGAUACUAUGGUCUUGAAUUCGGUCGAGGUUGGCAGAAUGUGUCGUGUAGCGGUGAAAUGCUUAGAUAUGUGGAGGAACACCCGUGGCGAAGGCGGCCACUUGGGC